rnacentral:tRNA from 1 species
GGAUAGGUAGCAGUAGCGGUCAACUGAAGGUGUCGUCAAACACUAUAUGACAUACAGUCAUUCAUUGGUUCGAAUCCAAUCCUAUCCG